ACCGAAACCCUAACUCUGCACCGUAACCAUGUCGACCAAACAAGGUGGAAAAGCUAAGCCUUUGAAGAAGCCAAAGUCUGAUAAGAAGGAUUACGAUGAGGUUGACAUGGCUAACAUCCAGAAGAAAAAGGAUGAGGAGAAGG